CUAAAAAGACACACCCUCGUCCACUUACCCUCGCCUUAUGCCCUUGGGGAACCCCCUCGCCAUCUUGGCGGGCGGUCCAAAUGAUUAGCCAAGCAAGGGAAGUUUGCAACGUAAGCCCCUCAGCCCUCGUUUUUAGUCGACUUUGCGAGUGUAGAAUUAUGUUCACUUCGUGUCCCGAAACUCCCCAUAAGAAAAGUCUGCGAAAACUUAAAAACGACAUCAAUGGAGAAGUCAACAUACAAGUUUUUCCCAAUUUUGACCAUUCUACCUGCCCUGACCGUGAGCCUGCCUGCCGAUCUGUGCCUUGUCACACACCCGUGGAUUAUUGACCCCUGCCUGCUCUGACCCCAAGACUGCCGGCCGUUCUGUACCUUGUGGACUCUGAUCUGGAUUACUGACCUCUGCCUGCUCUGAACCCAAGACUGCCUGCCGUUCUGUACCUUGUGGACUCUGAUCUGGAUUACUGCCCUCUGCCUGCUCUGACCCCAAGACUGCCUGCCGUUCUGUACCUUGUGAAGUCUGAUCAGGAUUACUGCCCUCUGCCUGCUCUGACCCCAAGACUGCCUGCCGUUCUGUACCUUGUGGACUCUGAUCUGGAUUACUGACCUCUGCCUGCCCUUGACCUGUCGUUUUGCCUGCCACGUUCUAGUAAUACUUUUAUUAAAAGUGAUAACCAGCCAAACAAGCUUGUAAGAAUUGUACUUAAAACCACCUUUCUACUCAUCUGGAGGUUGAGCAUUUGUUCAUGUCCAUCUCUGUAAUGUGUAUGUAUCUUUGUAAUUAUAUAGGGGAGACCAGGAAUGGUUGUAACACUUCACCUUUGUCAGUUUCUCAGAUUGUAUCAAGUUUUGAAUACACAAAUGUAAACAAAGUACCUACAUCUGUCCUUUACAAAUUGGUGUGGUUAUAUGUAAAUCAAACUGCAAGUUAAUGGUAUUACAUUAAAUACAAGGAGUGAAGUGUUACAAUUCACCCCAUGGUCUGGGUUAGUUGUAACAGAAUGAAAAAGUGCAUAAACCAUGACAUGCAACUAAUUAUUGAAUGCCUUAGAGACCAUAAGGGCAACAUUACAUUAUAAUAUUUUGCUUGGCAGAAAAAAAAUGGACCUGCCUAAAACAGCUGGAAAGAACAUAGCACACACACGUUUAGCCUAGUUAUUGUUUGGUUGAGAGAGGGUAAAAUAAAAAUGUAAUUUAUA